CCUACGGGUGACAGCAGUGGGGGAUAUUGCACAAUGGGGGGAACCCUGAUGCAGCGACGCCGCGUGAGCGAUGGAGUAUUUAGGUAUGUAAAGUCCUGUCAGCAGGGAAGAAAAUGACGGUACCUGACCAAGAAGCCCCGGCUAAAUACGUGCCAGCAGCCGCGGUAAUACGUAGGGGGCAAGCGUUAUCCGGAUUUACUGGGUGUAAAGGGUGCGUAGGCGGCAGGACAAGCCAGAUGUGAAAGCCCGUGGCUCAACCCCGGGACUGCAUUGGGAACUGUCAUGCUGGAGUGCCGGAGGGGCAGGUGGAAUUCCUAGUGUAGCGGUGAAAUGCGUAGAGAUUAGGAGGAACACCAGUGGCGAAGGCGACCUGCUGGACGGUGACUGACGCUGAGGCACGAAAGCGUGGGGAGCAAACAGGAUUAGAUACCCUUGUAGUC
rnacentral:rRNA from 1 species